rnacentral:rRNA from 1 species
UACAGAGGGGGCAAGCGUUGUUCGGAAUUACUGGGCGUAAAGGGCGCGUAGGCGGCCGCCUAAGUCAGACGUGAAAUCCCUCGGCUCAACCGGGGAACUGCGUCUGAUACUGGGUGGCUUGAAUUCGGGAGAGGGAUGCGGAAUUCCAGGUGUAGCGGUGAAAUGCGUAGAUAUCUGGAGGAACACCGGUGGCGAAGGCGGCGACUCGUCGGAUGC